UAUGAGCGAUGGGGUGACGCAGUAGGGUAGUGACGCGGACUGAUGGAUGUCCGUCUAAGCAGUGAGGCUGAUGUGUAGGCAAAUCCGCACAUCGUAAGGCUGGGCUGUGAUGGGGAGCGAAAAUUAUAGUAGCGAAGGUCAUGAUCUCAGACUGCCAAGAAAAGCCUCUAGCCAGGAGAAGGUGCCCGUACCGCAAACCGACACAGGUAGGCGAGAAGAGAAUUCUAAGGCGCGCGGAAGAACUCUCGUUAAGGAACUCGGCAAAAUGACCCCGUAACUUCGGGAGAAGGGGUGCCUCGGUAGGGUGAAUAGCCCGAGGGGGCCGCAGUGAAAAGGCCCAAGCGACUGUUUAGCAAAAACACAGGUCUGUGCGAAGCCGCAAGGCGAAGUAUACGGGCUGACGCCUGCCCGGUGCUGGAAGGUUAAGGGGAGUGGUAAGC
rnacentral:rRNA from 1 species